rnacentral:rRNA from 1 species
CAACCAUAAACGAUGCCGACCAGGGAUCGGCGGAUGUUGCUUAUAGGACUCCGCCGGCACCUUAUGAGAAAUCAAAGUCUUUGGGUUCCGGGGGGAGUAUGGUCGCAAGGCUGAAACUUAAAGAAAUUGACGGAAGGGCACCACCAGGAGUGGAGCCUGCGGCUUAAUUUGACUCAACACGGGGAAACUCACCAGGUCCAGACAAAAUAAGGAUUGACAGAUUGAGAGCUCUUUCUUGAUCUUUUGGAUGGUGGUGCAUGGCCGUUCUUAGUUGGUGGAGUGAUUUGUCUGCUUAAUUGCGAUAACGAACG